GUCAAGCACUUGCCUUCGACGAGUUGACCGGUCUGUAGGACUAUUCAUUUACCCUCAACGUCUCGCUUCUAUAUCCUUGCCGCGUCUCUGGCGAAGAAAAGACAGCGGGAAAGAUCUUUUUUUAAGGAUGUUUGUAUUUCGGUGUCUGUGUGUUGCUCUCUUGAUGUGCAUGGCGAUUUUUAAGCCAGUGGUCUCUCAUGCAGGGAGUUGCGAGGACCACACCCCACAGUGCAGAUUCUGGGCGUACGCGGGAAGGUGUCAGUGGGAUAAUACCAUGAAACUAAAUUGCCCUGUUUCUUGUAACUCUUGCAUAGAUCCGACAUGCUUUGACAGGGACCGCCGCUGCGCCACGUGGGCAAAGGAAGGACAC